ensembl:snRNA U2 U2 spliceosomal RNA
AUAGCUUCUCAGCCAUUUGGCUAAGGUCAAGGGCAGUAUCUGGUCUUACCAGAUUAAUGUCUGAUUUGUCCUCUGUUUGAGGACACUCUAGGAAAUGGAGUUUUGAAGCAGGGAGUUGGAAGAGAAGCCUGCUCUGACCACUGUGUGCGUCGACCUGGUAUUGCAGGAUCUCCAGGAAUGGUGCACCCCAC